rnacentral:rRNA from 1 species
GAGUUUGAUCUUGGCUCAGGGUGGUAGGAACAUUGAGGCUGGGGCCGCCUGAGGCUUUGGCAUGAGGCUGGGGGGCUGAGGAGAGAUGUGAAACAGUUACACCGGGGGUGAAGGUGUCAGAGAGGCCUCUCAGUUUCAGCUUGAGUCGGCAGGCAGGCCAUGGUGGUGGCUGGUGGGGAAGUCACCACUGCCCCAGGCCAGAGAGGAUUGCCUCUGAGCCAGGGAUGUCCAGGGCUGCCUCUGAGAGAGGUACAGGUGGGAGUGGACACGGGCAGGUCAACCACUGUCCCUGCCCCAUGACCCCGACACAGGUCAGAUGACCCAGAUGUGGGGGCCAGGGCAGGAGCAGUUGAGGGGCCAGGCUAUCAGCUGAGUCGAAAAGUU